GGUAAAGGGUCUGCUGGCUAGUGCAGGAGACACAAGAGAUUCGAGAUCCAUCCUGAGAUCAGGAAGAUCCCUUGGAGUAGGAAAUGGCAACCCAUUCCAGUGUUCUUGCCUGGAAAAUUCCUUGGACAGAGGAACCUGGUGGGCUACAGUUCAUGGGGUGGCAAAGAGUUGGACAUGACUGACGGUUGGCCAUACAUACAUGCAUGCAGGGUCUACCAGCAUUUAUUUAGGCAAUCCCCUGCCCCUGGAUGUCACAGCCCUGUCCUGGAUGCCCCUGUAACAGCCAAGUUGCAGCCUGUGCUCCCCCUUAGCUAACGUGCCAGGGCUCCGGGCAGUGGAGGGGACAUUCCAGGCUGCGGUGGGGACACCUCCAUCUGCCCUCCCAGGUGACCUAGGGUCCAGGCAACUGUGCUGUGCCAAGCUUGCAAUCAGACAGACCUGCCGUCUGGCCUGGCCUUGGCACUUGCUGUUUAUAACCUCCAGGGGCAGGGAUUUCCUUCCCUGAGGGCUGAGCCUCAGCGUCCGCAUCUGGAAAAGAAGGCUGUCCUUCCAACCAGAGAGGAUUUUCCGAGGAUCAGCUGGAAGAGGAAGCAGAAAAGAGCCUUGUGAAUCUCCAAGCUCGGCCCAAACGCUGACACCUGGUCAUCCCAUGCCCUUCAGUGGGGACCAGCCAUGCUCCCCGUGUGCCUCCUUCCUUUCCAGAAGCCAGCACUCUGCUCUUCACCUGGCUCUCCCUGCACUGACGGCAUCAUCUUGACCUUGAUGGCAGAAGUUCUCAGGAAAAGUUGGCUGAACUGGACUGAAUCAGCCCCUCCACAUCUGAAGAUGGGCAAUAGCUAUAGCUGCAUUUUGACACUGCCUCCUGAUCAGAUACUAACGCUGCCCAGAGCACUGGGUUGAGAAGUGCCAUACUCAGCAGAUAAGAGUCCUAGAAUCAACUAGUCAUGUCUGCUAAGAGUGCAGAACCAGAUAAUCAGAAAUUCAGCCUUUUUUGCUGAUCCCAGAAUAAAUGAUCAGAAGCCUGGGAGCAAAAGAUUCUGUUAAAGAAGACUUUUCUUAUAAAUCAUAAGCCCUCUGAAUUGAUUUACUGUAAAACAGGUAAACAAAUAUCAAGAUGCAUUUAGGGAGAGGGUGGGAUGAUUUGGGAGAAUGGCAUUCUAACAUGUAUACUAUCAUGUAAGAAUUGAAUUGCCAGUCUAUGUCUAACGCAGGAUACAGCAUGCUUGAGGCUGGUGCAUGGGGAUGACCCAGAG
rnacentral:lncRNA from 1 species